CCUUUUGUAUUUAUCUCAAUAUAUAAGGGGUUUCCUGCAUAUAGUCCAUCACCUGUACAUGUAUAUAUACCGGCCUAUGGCCUCAUGGGAAUACAAGUUGCUUAUUCCUAACAUGGUAUUAGAGCUAGGUCAAUUUUUUGCACGCUGCAACUCGUGUGAUUGAUCCUUCUCUCCUACUCCUGAUCGAAGUCUGUCCUCGAUCUCCUUCUCCUCCCCGUCCAGCUGCCGUCUCAAAGGCUGCUCCAGAUCGGCUGCUGGUUCCUUCCACGAGGCGCUGCAGGUCCGCUCCAGAUCGCUGCUGCCCCGUCCCGAUCCAGUCCCGCGAGGCACCAGGCCGAGGCGCUGCAGGUUCCAGAUCGCUGCUGCCCCGUCUCGAUCGGCCUGGCGCUGCAGGUUCCAGAUCGCUGCUGCCCCGUCUCGAUCUGCAGGCAGGUUCCAGAUCGCUGCUGCCCCGUCUCGAUCUGCAGGCAGGUUCGCUCCCUCCAGUCCCGCGAGCCAUCCAGUCCCAGCCCGUGCCGCCAGGAGCUACCAAGGACUCGAUCUGCAGGCAGGUCCGCUCCAUCCAGUCCCGCGAGCGAUCCGGUCCCAGCCCGCGCCGCCAGGAGCUACCAGGGAUUCGAUCUGAUCUCGCCUUCGCCAGAUCAAGUCCUGCUGUCUGACGCGGCUCGUUGACUUCUUCAAAAAAAAAUAUCAAAAAAAAAUGUCUGCUUCAUCCGGCUACGUUGCUGUUCCUCGUUGUCCGGUGAUCUUUGAUGGCACUAAUUACACCGAGUUCAUUGACUUCAUGCGCAUUCACAUGCAUGGCAUCCGCCUAUGGGGUUUCCUUUCUGGUGAGGUCUGUUGUCCGCCAUGUCCGGUUCCUCCCGUGGCUCCCACUCCGCCGACCUCACCGGCUUUUCCUGCGGAUGCUACUCAGGCUGCCAAGGAUGCGGCUAAGCUUGCUGAUGAGGACGCUAUCCGUGCUUAUGAUGAGAAGGUCUUGGCUUAUGAGGAGGCUCUUCAGACAUAUCAUGGUGCUCUGUCUGCUUACACCCAGUGGCUUGAUGAUGAUGCUUGUGCUGCAGCUGCUCUCACUGCUAGCGUUCUGCCUCAGUUUGCCUCUGAGUUUCUGGGCCUUCCUACUGUGUUUGAGAUGUGGACUCGCCUUUGUCAGCGCUAUGAACCCUCGGGUGAUGCCUUAUACCUCUAUGGUCCGUCAGGAGCAUGCUCUUCAGCAGGGCGACUCUACUGUUGAUGACUUCUAUGCAGAGAGUUCUGCUAUCUGGCGCCAGCUUGAUUCUCUCCGCAGUGUUGGUUGUCGUACUUGCCCCUGUUGCCAGGCUGUCCAAGCCAACUUGGAGUUUCAUCGCGUCUACGAGUUCCUGUCUCGGCUCUGUAAGGAGUUUGAGCCCCGGCGUGCUCAGUUGUUUGCUCAUGGCCGUAUCUCUCUCAUGGAGGCGCUUUCUGAGAUUCGUGCCGAGGAGACUCGCUUACGUGGUGCUGGUUUGCUGGAGGUUCCUUCGGUGCUCGCUGCUCGGGCUACUUCUAAGCCAUCUGCUGCACCAACCCCUUCUCGCUCGAGUGCUCCGCCGCUCUUGCCCACACCUUCUGGAGGCUCAGGUCGCCCCCGUCCAUAUUGUGGUUACUGCAACAAUGAUGGUCAUAUUGAGUCCAACUGCUACACGAAGAAGAAACACUUGCGCAAGGCGCGCUCAUCAUCUACAGAGACCUCGUCAUCUACCUCGACAACUUCAGCCAUCGCUUUGACUGAGCAGGAUAUUCUGAGACUUAAGCGUCUGCUCGCUGCUUCGGGUUCUUCCUCGACGGGUACUGCUGGUUCUGUGACUGAGGCUUCCCGCACUGAGCAACCACCUUCUACACAGUCAGGUACAUCCCCAUGGGUUCUAGACUCUGGAGCUUCCUUUCAUAUGACUUCUAAUUCUUCUCCUCUGUCCUCUCUUCGAUCGCUUGAUUCUCCUGUUCAUGUCCUCACCGCUGAUGGUACUCCCCUUUCUGUCGUUAGUAGAGGCAAUCUUACCACUCCUUAUUUUGUUCCUGAUGUUGCUCAUGUUCCUCGACUUACCAUGAAUCUGUUUUCCACUGGUCAACUUGCUGAUUCUGGUUGUCGUGUCAUCCUUCACCUUGACUCUUGUUCUGUCCAGGACCGUCGCACGCACACUCUGGUUGGGGCUGGUCCUCGCCGCCGUGAUUUUGAGGGUCUUUGGGAGUUGGACUGGCUUCAUGUUCCUUCCGCUGCUCACUCUAUCGCCAGUUCUUCCGCUUUGGUCGCCUCGGCUACUGGUUCCUUCCAGCAGUGGCAUCAUCGACUUGGUCAUCUGUGUGGCUCUCGUUUGUCGUCAUUAGUUCGUCGAGGUCUUCUGGGGUCUGUCUCAGGAGAUGCCUCUUUAGAGUGUCAGGGUUGUCGUCUUGGCAAGCAGAUUCAGUUACCAUAUCCACAUAGUGAGUCAGUGUCUAAGCGUCCUUUUGAUUUAGUUCAUUCCGAUAUAUGGGGUCCGGCUCCCUUCGCUUCGAAAGGGGGUCAUAAAUACUAUAUUAUUUUCAUAGAUGACUUCUCUCGUUACACAUGGCUUUAUUUCAUGACUUCUCGUAGUGAGGUGUUGUCCAUUUAUAAGCAUUUUGCUGCCAUGGUUCAUACUCAGUUCUCUUCUCCCAUUCGUGUGUUCCGUGCUGACUCUGCUGGCGAGUAUAUCUCUAAGAUGUUGUGUGGUGUUCUUGCUGAGCAAGGGACUCCCUCUCAAUUCUCUUGUCCUGGUGCUCACGCUCAGAAUGGUGUGGCUGAGCGCAAGCAUUUUCAUCUUCUUGAGACAGCUCGUGCAUUGAUGAUUGCUGCCUCUCUCCCGCCUCAUUUUUGGGCUGAGGCCGUUUCCACCUCCACCUAUCUCAUCAAUUUCCAACCUUCCGCUGCUCUACAGGGUGGUGUUCCUUUCGAGCGUCUUUUUUAUCGUUCUCCCGAUUAUUCGAUGCUUCGCUUGUUUGGUUGUGUUUGCUAUGUUCUUCUUGCCCCCCGCGAACGCACCAAACUGACCGCUCAGUCUGUUGAGUGUGUCUUCUUAGGCUAUAGUGAUGAGCAUAAGGGCUAUCGUUGUUGGGAUCCUCUCGGUCGUCGGAUGCGUAUCUCUCGGGAUGUGACUUUUGAUGAGUCUCGUCCCUUCUACCCACGCCCAUCUUCCUCGACUUUUUCAGUGGAGGAUAUCUCUUUCCUCACUUUUCCUGACACACCUAUCACACCCGUCGAGCCUUUGCCUAUUCGUUCCGCUCCCUCUGCUUCUCCACCUCCAGUCGAUUUGUCGCCACCAUCUUCCACGGUCUCCUCAUCUAGCAUGUCACCUGAUUCUACACCUUCUUCUCCGGUGACUUCUUUGUCGCCACUCCCCGAUUCUCCCUUGGUGAUUCCUCCUUCCAUUGUUCCGUCUUCUCCUCAGUGUUACACUCGUCGUUCACGUUCUGUGGAUGCCUCUGUGGAUGUGUCGUCAUCCUCAUCGCGGCCUACUUAUGGCUUGCGUUCUCGUCCUCGUCCGCCUGUUGAUCGUUUUGGAUUUUCCACUGCUGGUGCUGCUGUUCUUGAGCCGACUACUUAUCAUCAGGCUGUUGUUCAUCCUGAAUGGCAGUUUGCGAUGGCAGAGGAGAUUGCUGCUCUUGAACGCACUGGUACGUGGGAUCUUGUUUCCCUUCCUCCCAGAGUCCGUCCCAUCACUUGUAAGUGGGUCUACAAGGUUAAGACUCGCUCCGAUGGUUCUCUUGAGCGUCACAAAGCUCGUCUUGUGGCUCGUGGUUUUCAGCAGGAGCAUGGUCGUGAUUAUGACGAGACUUUUGCUCAUGUGGCUCAUAUGACCACUGUCCGUACACUUCUUGCCGUGGCUUCUACACGCCACUGGUCUAUCUCUCAGCUUGAUGUUAAGAAUGCUUUUCUUAAUGGUGAGCUGUGUGAGGAGGUGUACAUGCAGCCACCACCUGGGUAUUCUGUUCCUGAUGGCAUGGUAUGUCGUCUUCGUCGCUCUCUCUAUGGCCUUAAGCAAGCCCCUCGCGCCUGGUUUGAGCGUUUUGCCUCUGUGGUGACUACCGUUGGUUUUUCACCCAGUGUUCAUGAUCCAGCAUUGUUUAUUCACCUUUCUCCUCGUGGUCGGACUCUUCUUCUCUAUGUUUGAUGACAUGGUCAUCACUGGGGAUGACCCUGAGUAUAUUGCCUUUGUCAAGGCCCGCCUUAGUGAGCAGUUCCUUAUGUCUGAUCUUGGACCUCUUCGCUACUUUCUUGGGAUUGAAGUCUCUUCUACCUCUGAUGGCUUCUUUAUAUCCCAGGAAAAGUAUAUCCAGGAUCUUCUUGCUCGUGCUGCUCUUACUGAUGAGCGCAUUGUUGAGACUCCUAUGGAGCUCAAUGUUCACCUCUCUGCUACGGAUGGUGAUCCCCUGCCUGAUCCGACUCGUUAUCGUCAUCUUGUUGGCGGUCUUGUUUAUCUAGCUGUCACUCGUCCGGAUAUCUCUUAUCCGGUUCAUAUUUUGAGUCAGUUCGUCUCUGCUCCCACAUCGGUUCACUAUAGUCAUCUCCUCCGUGUUCUCCGAUAUCUUCGGGGCACGAUCUCUCGCCGUCUAUUCUUUCCUCGCUCCAGUUCUUUACAGCUUCAGGCCUAUUCGGAUGCUACGUGAGCUAGUGAUCCUUCAGAUCGCCGUUCACUUUCUGCUUACUGUGUUUUUUUUGGUGGUUCUCUCAUUGCCUGGAAGACGAAGAAACAGGUUGCAGUUUCCCGUUCGAGUGCAGAUGCUGAGUUGCGAGCGAUGGCUCUUUUGACGGCAGAGGUGACUUAGUUACAAUGGUUACUUCAGGAUUUUGGUGUUUCUGUCACUACACCAACUCUGCUCUUAUCUGACAGUACAUGUGCUAUUAGCAUUGCGCGCGAUCCUGUGAAGCAUGAGUUCAGCAAGCAUAUUGGUGUUGAUGCUUUCUAUGUGCGCGCUGCUGUGCAGGAUCAGGUUGUUGCUCUUCAGUAUGUGCCUUCCGAAUUACAGUUGCGGAUUUCCUGACGAAGGCCCAGACUAGAGCACAACAUUGCUUCUAUCUCUCCAAACUCAGUGUUGUUCAUCCACCAUGAGUUUGAGGGGGGUGUUAAGAGUUAUAAUAUAAGCCAUGUACCCUUUUGUAUUUAUCCCAAUAUAUAAGGGGUUUCCUGCAUAUAGUCCAUCACCUGUACAUGUAUAUAUACCGGCCUAUGGCCUCAUGGGUUAUUCCUAACAGUUCUAUCCUAAAUAUUAUGUUAGGCCCAACCAAAAUAUAUAUAUAGUGUCGGCCGAACAAGUCCCGGACAGUCCGGCCAAUUGUUCGGGCCUUGCUAGCUUGGACUUGGCUAGUUCUUAUAUAUAUCUCAAGAUGA
rnacentral:lncRNA from 1 species